AAAUUAUUGUGUGCCACAGAGAUAACAAAUUUCCUUGUUAAUUGUGUCUUUGACUAUGGCUUCCCUAAAACUUUUUGUCAUCCAAGGACAAUUGUUGUCUUGUUUCAGUCCUCUUUAGAAGGUGGUUUUAUAAUCAGCUAUAAAAUUCUAACAGGUGUUCUUGAAUGCACGCUUCUGUUAACUUUGGAGAUUGUGACGUCAAACUAGAGGAAAAACUUUCAGGACUGAUGGAGAGUGGAAAAGUUUAUGAAUAUCAAGCAGAAUAGGAAUUAACUGCAUGUACUGAACUAAUAGAACUGUGUUUUAUCUUUUUGCUUAAAACGUUGCUGAUCCUUUGUUUUGUUUUUCAGAGUCAAGAAACUUUCCUUUUAAGCUACUUACAGCUUUUAACAGUUGAGUAAAGUAUACUCCUAUGAACAAAAUUUGGAACAUAUUUGUUUCUGUCUGCCUGAUUUCUACAGAAUUUGGAAACUAUUUGUGAGGAUUUAUAACUUAUGACAAUAUAGUUAUUUGCAAAAGUGCAAUAAGAAUCUGUUUUCAUUUGUAACAGGGCACAAUUGGAGAAACUGGUUAUUUUACCAAUGCUUUGACUGAAAUGGGGUGCUUUCCUUUAAGAAAUCUAACUUGAUUUAUGGAGCCAAUAAAAUCCCCUUGGAAAAACUGGCCUCAUACCUUUGUCUACACAGUCCUUGUACAGGUUUUCUGACGUAUGGUAAGUAAAGAAGAUCACUUUCUGACAGGCCCAGAAGCCCCAAGUUUAUCUUGGAACCUCAAGAGGAGAGGAAUUCAUUAAACUCAUGGGUAUUUCAUGGUAUAAAUUCAUGGCUGGGUAUGGAUUUAAAAAGGUCUUAUCUGAGAUUCCUUCUGUGGAACAAAGUUCAAUCAAAGCCAAUUUAAAAGCCUAUGUAAAAAAUAACUAUUCCUGCUGCACUGUGUACAAAUAAUUAGGCCAAGUAUAAUAAAGCAAACCAGUCCUACCAUGAUUUGUCUUUAGUAAAAACGGGAAACUGGAGAAAGAAAAAUUAUGUUUCAAAAACUAUAGUACACCUGUUGUUAGAUUCUAGUCUUGUCUGAUGUUUUUUGAUUUUUAUUAUUUCCUACAGUUUGGAUCAAACUCUAAUUUUUCUUGGCUAUGAGUCUUCAAAAUAAUGUUUUCAAUUUUUUCUUUCUUUUUUCCCCAUUUUUCCUAAUUUGGAGUAACUGGAAACUAAGCUGGGCAUUCUUAAAGCCCUGUGAACUGAAGCCAGACAACUUAAACUUUAGUAGAAAAUAACAGCAACCCAUUUACAUAGACAAGCCACUUUCAUACUGGCCUACUGAUGUAUGGACCUCAGAAGAAUGUGGCCUAUAUUGAUUUUCCAGGAUUGUUCUUUUUUUGCUGUUGUUUUUCUCACUUCUUCCCCCUAUUUUCUCUUCAUAGGACAUGAGACUUCACAACCUUCUAAAAAUGAGUGUUACUAAUAACUCAGGACCUACCUGUUUUGGGUGGAGAGGAGACCCAAGGGGAAGGGUGGAAGGGUACCUGCAGGAGGUAGGGUACAGAGAAGAAGUUUAUAGAGUGAACAAAUUACUGCAAUUUGGCCCAAAAAGCAUUAGUCUAGGCCCUGUUCUGCCACCAACUUGCUGUGUGAUUGAGCUCAGGCCAACCCUUUUCCCUGUUAUGCACUGAGAAGCCUCCUCAGCUUUUACCAUCCGUGGUUUAAGAAUUCUUGCCCAAGUCAAAGCAGUAACAUCUGGCAAGGUUCAAGGCAAGCAAAGAACAGACAGCCAAGAAG
rnacentral:lncRNA from 1 species